rnacentral:rRNA from 1 species
GGUAUUUUGGCGCAGUAGAGCAUCUUGUGCAUGGGUAAACGCUUGACACAGGGUUUCACACUGAGGUCUGUCUAACUAAGUGCCAGCAGACGCGGUUAAACUUAGAGGCCCAGUUUUUAUUUCACAUUAGGCGUUAAGUAUGUAGUGAAGCAUGAGAAUAAAGUAAGGUAAACCUCUUGGUAGCGGUAAAAUGUUUGAAGCAAGAGUGGAAGUUCGAAGGUGGAGACUCCUUACUUCGUUCAUGGCGCAUAUUCAUGAAAUACGAAAGCUUGGAUAGCAAACAGGAUUAGAUACCCUGGUAGUCCUCGCCCUAAACUUAUACAAUAGCUUUAUUAGCAAAUAACCUUAUUGUAUGCCUGAAUACUCUGAUCGCAAGAUUGAAACUCAAAAGGCUUGGCUGUUCACUGUUUGAAUCAGAGGAGCGUGUAAUUUAAUACGAUGAUCCGCGUGUCACCUCACCUUUCCUUGAAAGCGGACUACCUUUUGUAGGUAGUCCGCUCAGGCAUUGCAUGGCCGUCGUCAGGAUAACAAUAAAUGUUAUCCUUAACCCGAUUAUGGAUUAAGUCAGGUGUCAUGGUCUUUAUGGAAAGGGAUAUUAUGCGCUACAUUCUCUUAAACAAUACACACAGUAAAUUAGGAGGCGGAGAUUUUCUGAAACGGGAAUCUUAAGUAGGAUUUGAUAGUAAUCGGGAAGUAGAGCGUCCCGGUGAAUUUUCACCCAGUGUUAGCACAAAUCGCCCGUCGUCCCCUUCAAGUUAAGGAUACGAGACGCCCCGCGGCGGGGUUAUCCCUCCUUUUCGAGGAUGGGUAAGUCGUAACAUAGUAGAGAGAGGAGAGCACAGGAACA